AUCCUUUUGUGGUUCAUAGGGAUAGUGAUUAGGUUUUCACACUAAUGUGUGAGAUGUGCUUCUCUCAAACCUUGUUAUGACAUCAGCACGUUACCCAUCUGAUA